UACGGAGGGGACUAGCGUUGUUCGGAAUUACUGGGCGUAAAGCGCACGUAGGCGGAUUUGUAAGUCAGGGGUGGAAUCCCGGGGCUCAACCCCGGAACUGCCUUUGAUACUGCGAAUCUCGAGUCCGGAAGAGGUGAGUGGAAUUCCUAGUGUAGAGGUGAAAUUCGUAGAUAUUAGGAAGAACACCAGUGGCGAAGGCGGCUCACUGGUCCGGUACUGACGCUGAGGUGCGAAAGCGUGGGGAGCAAACAGG
rnacentral:rRNA from 1 species